GCACCAUUUUCGAGUGCGCUUGCACAUCAUGCAGGGCCAUCUGUAAAUCAGAAACCUGCAAUAUAAGUCCUGCAAGGCCUGCCAUGGCUCAUGCAAAGCAAGAUCACCACUUCAGCCUGCUGCCUCUUGGGCUGCAAUCUCUACUACUUGCAUGAGACCAUUGAGACUGAACCCUCACACAACAAGUUAAACGAAGCAGCUUUAUCACUCCCAGGUACUGUGGGCAGAGAAGCACAGUAAAAUAGCAGAGGCUACUGCUUACAGGCACAGAGCAGAGCAUUGGGAUGAGACAGUUGGAGAGAUGCUUAGUGUCACGGGCUGGAUGGUACAGCAUCUGUGAGACAAGAUGGAGACAGAGGCAGAUCCCUGAAAAAGGCUAUGAUGUCUUAGAGGGUUACGGAAAUGCAGUAAAGUUACAAAUUAUUUGUACAUAGAGGUGGAGGCAAAUAAUAAUAUAGAGAAAAAAGAAACACUCACUGAAGCAACAGAAGCAGACUUGGCUCAGCCUGGCUCGUGGCCUCCGACUGUGCCCUAGAGGAGCUAUUUGCUCGAGACCUACUCCAGGUUGGCCUGGCAUGAACACGUGACUCUCAUCUUCAGUUAGCGUGGCUCAGCGUCCAGAUCAGCGUCUGCGGACACCCCUCACCACAGUGGCUGCCCUGGAGCUCUGAGAGCCAGGCUUGUGAAAAUGGAACAGAAAAGGCCACUGGCUUCAGCUUGGUCCUCUGCCGCCACCUGUGUGCUGGAAGCAGCCACCGCACCGGACUGGAAAGCGCCUUGCUCUAGGGCCCUGGAUGCAAGGUCUGAGGCAGCCCUUGAGGAAUAUGGGAGAGGGAAAGAAACUAGGGGAGCAGAGCCUUAGAAAGGCAGGCUCCUUAUCGCCCCGUCCUGCAGAACUUUCCUCUGUGAAUAAAUUCAGAGAUCCUCUGAUACAGUGAAGGGAAGAAGAAACACUAACACCAGCCCAGAGCUUCUGGCCCAGAAACACAGCACUGGGUUGUGGAUUAAUCCACACUGUAAAGAAACUUUGAGAUUGUUCAGCUAGUUCCAUCAGAGCAGAAAGGGCAUUUUAGAAAUGAAAGACUUGGAACCAACCCAAAUGUCCAACAACGAUAGACUGGAUUAAGAAAAUGU
rnacentral:lncRNA from 1 species